rnacentral:rRNA from 1 species
GAGUGAACGCUGGCGGUAGGCCUAACAAAUGCAAGUCGAACGGCAGCACAGUAAGAGCUUGCUCUUAUGGGUGGCGAGUGGCGGACGGGUGAGGAAUACAUCGGAAUCUACUUUUUCGUGGGGGAUAACGUAGGGAAACUUACGCUAAUACCGCAUACGACCUACGGGUGAAAGCAGGGGAUCUUCGGACCUUGCGCGAUUGAAUGAGCCGAUGUCGGAUUAGCUAGUUGGCGGGGUAAAGGCCCACCAAGGCGACGAUCCGUAGCUGGUCUGAGAGGAUGAUCAGCCACACUGGAACUGAGACACGGUCCAGACUCCUACGGGAGGCAGCAGUGGGGAAUAUUGGACAAUGGGCGCAAGCCUGAUCCAGCCAUACCGCGUGGGUGAAGAAGGCCUUCGGGUUGUAAAGCCCUUUUGUUGGGAAAGAAAUCCAGCCGGCUAAUACCUGGUUGGGAUGACGGU